UGUGGUGUAGCUCAGAUGGUAGAGCGCAAGACGGCAGAUCGUUUCUACUCCGGUAGACGCUUAGGCGGUCAAAUGACAACGAUUCGAUUUGCCGCAGAGGUCACAGGUUCGACUCCAGCCACCACAU
rnacentral:tRNA from 1 species